GGAGUUAGCCGGUGCUUCUUCUGUGAGUGAUGUCCUUCCUGCCGGCUAUUAACCCGCAGGCCUUCUUCCUCACUGAAAGUGCUUUACAACCCGAAGGCCUUCUUCACACACGCGGCAUGGCUGGAUCAGGGUUGCCCCCAUUGUCCAAUAUUCCCCACUGCUGCCUCCCGUAGGAGUCUGGGCCGUGUCUCAGUCCCAGUGUGGCUGAUCAUCCUCUCAGACCAGCUACGGAUCGUCGCCUUGGUGAGCCGUUACCUCACCAACCAGCUAAUCCGACAUAGGCUCAUCCGAUAGCGCGAGGCCCGAAGGUCCCCCGCUUUCCCCCGUAGGGCGUAUGCGGUAUUAGCCUGGGUUUCCCCAGGUUAUCCCCCACUACCGGGCAGAUUCCUAUGCAUUACUCACCCGUCCGCCGCUCGCCACCAGGGAGCAAGCUCCCCGUGCUGCCGCUCGACUUGCAUGUGUUAGGCCUGCCGCCAGCGUUCAAUCUGACACGAUACAUAACUCGACUACGAGCGGCGUCGCGACGACGC
rnacentral:rRNA from 1 species